GUAGGGGUGUGACAAGCAACUUAACUACUACAUUGGAGGUAAGCAAAUUUCACUUGGAUUUGGCUCUAUAUCAUAAUUCCCAAUGGAUUUCUAUACCUAAAACAUGGAUUUUUAAAGUAAAAAAUUAGGAUUUUUAUCUACAACUUAAGAGCGUGUAUUUUGAAGAUUUGAAGGUCGAUUUUGAAUUAGAUUUGAAAUUUAAUCAUAUAUUUGGACUUGUGGGGUCUUGGGUAGUAGGGAUCUACCCAUUGACUGAGGUUUUGACCGUUUGGGGGCCCAUUUUGACUUUUUUAACUUUUAGGAAUUUGCAUAAAGAACGAAGUUUUAUUGUUUGAGGAUGUUUCAUGUGGCUUUAUUUGAUAUUAUUGAGUUGUUUUUGACUAGAUUUGGGUCAUUUGGAGUUGAAUUUGGACGGUUAGGCAAUAUUUACUGGAUUUAAGGUUGCCGGGCAGAGGAAAGUCUCUUGUCUGUCAUUCUAAGAGUGAAUUCUCCCCAGGUGAUAUAAUUGCUACUUAAUUUAUUAUUUAGGGGCCACGUAUAUACAAGGUUAGGAGCGUAUAUGGGUAGCUAGGUUUUGACCAUAUCCAAUAUUGUUGACUUGAGUUGUUCUGUUAUUGAAAUAUUCAAAAUUUCUAUGCACGUUCAAAUUGAUUCUGUGAUUAUGUGACAUUGUAUUCAUGAUUUAGGAGCAUGCCUAGGGUUAUGGCUUGUUGAUUUGACAUGAGAGUGACUUGGUCACGUCGAGCUUUAUUAUAAAUUUAUAGUCAUAUACUUUCCUUGUUUACUCCAUGAUUUAUAUGGUCUCUAUGCCUAAUUAACACAUGAUAACAAUAUGAUUGAGCUAAAAUUACUUAUUGAGUCGUUGUGAUAAAUUGAGUUAUAUGCUUUGUUGUAGCCAUCACUUAGUCGUUUGAGCUUUUAUCAGCGUUCUUAUUAUCAAGUCUUGUGCCCUUUUAUUAUAUCAUUUUUACACAUAUGCAAGACUCAAAAGGUUGUUAUUAAGGAAAAUUGAGGAUUUUGGCACUAUCGGCACUUGAGCGGGUAUUGGUACUAAUUAUUGGAUAGAUGAUGUUAUUAUUGGAUCAGGUUGCGCACAGUAAUGACUGAUUGGUUAAUGAUCAUUAAAUACAAAUGAUCGAAUCUCGGAUUAUGGAUCUAUCCCUCUGGAGUCAGGUGAUUACCCUUGUUACCUUGGCCCCUGUGAGUGUAGGCACCCGUGAUUCUUUUGGUGCUUAUUGGACAUGAGGCUUGUCUCAGAGACAUGGAGUUUUGUUGUGGUUGUUGAGAGCAGGAUCCCGAGCAUGUAUAUGUAUGUUUGCUUAGACUCAUGCUACGAAUUGAUGAAGGUACUGUUGACCUGUAUCUUGUUUUAUUCGAGAAAUAAGAUGCUGAUAUUUUUUUAUUCAUGUUAUUUGAAAAAGAUGCCUAAAUUUCGUAUGAGAUGUGUUUUGAGAUUUUAUACUUGUUGACGAUAUCAUUUCAAGUUUCAUGUUGGAUUAUUCUCUCAUCUGUUUAAUUGGCUAUUAGUGAGUGUCGAAGUUGGUCCUACGCCACAACUUCUUUGAAGCUAGACUUGAUAUUUACUGGGAACUUUGAUUUGUACUCAUUUUACACUUCUGCACAUUUUGUGCAGGUUCUGAGGUUGGUGUGAGUGUCAUUCAUCCAGGUCCAUAAGAGCUCUUGUAGAGACUUUGUGGUAAGCUUCUUUACCUGAUCGAUUCGUAGCACAUAGAGUUCCCCUCCACACUUGCUUCUUAUGUCAAUCUAUCAUAUCCAGGCGGACAAUGUAUUUAGAUGAUUUUUACAACAUCUUGUUCGAUGCUUGUGUCAAUUUUGACAUCCGAGUUUUGAGUGAAAUUGGCAGUUGUGAUCGCGUUUAAACCUUGCCUUGGAUAGUUUAUCUAUGUUGUUAGACAUGAGAUUAUUCUGUUUCUUAUCAUAUUGGGAAUUUUGUUAAAAGUUGAGUAAUCUUCUUUACAAUUAUGAUUGUUAUUGUGUUGGCUUGCCUUGUAAGAGGGUUAGGAGCCAUCACGACCUUUGGAGGGAUUUUGGGUCGUGACAAGUUGAUAUUACAGCACUAGGUUCCAAGGGUGUCACAAAUCUUAAAAACGCCUAAUAGAGUCUUGCUGAUUGAUACAGAUCUAAACUUAUCUUUGAUAGGCUAUAGCGCUUUAGGAACUUAUCAUGUCUUGGGCCCUUUUAUUAUAUCGUUCUUACACAUAUGCAUGACUCAUUAAAGUUGUUAUUAAGGAAAAUUGAGAAUUUUUGCACUAUGGUCACUUGAGCGGGUAUUGGUACUAAUUAUUGGAUUGCUGAUGUUAUGAUUGGAUCAGGUUGGACGCUGCAAUGACUGAUUUGUUAAUGAUCAUAAAAUAUAAAUGAUCGAAUCUCGGAUUAUGGAUCUAUCCCUCCGGAGUCAGGUGAUUACCCUUAUUACUUUGGGACCUGUGAGUGUAGGCACACGUGAUUCUUUUGGUACUUAUUGGACAUGUGGCUUGUCUUAGAGACAUGGAGUUUUGCUGUGGUUGUUGAGAACGGGAUCUUGAGCAUGUAUAUGUAUAUUUUCUUAGACUCAUGCUAUGAAUUGAUGAAGGUAUUAUUGACCGGUAUCUUGCUUUAUUUGAGAAAUAAGAUGCUGAUAUUUUUUUAUACAUGUUAUUUGAAAAACAUGCCUAAAUUUCAUAUGAGAUGUGUUUUGAGAUUUUAUACUUGUUGACGAUAUCAUUUCAAGUUUCAUGUUGGAUUAUUCUCUCGUAUGUUUAAUUGGCUAUUAGUGAGUGUCGAAGUUGGUCCCACGCCACAACUUCUUUGAGGCUAGACUUGAUAUUUACUAGGAACCUUGAUUUGCACUUAUACUACACUUCUACACAUUUUGUGCAGGUUUUGAGGUUGGUGUGAGUGUCAUUCAUCCAGGUCCAUAGGAGCUCUUAUGGAGGCUUCGUGGUAAGCUGCUUUACCUGAUCGAUUCGCAGCACAUAGAGUUCCCCUCCACACUUGCUUCUUAUGUGUAUCUAUCACAUCCAGGCAGACAUUCUAUUCAGAUGAUUUAUACAAAAUCUUAUUAGAUGCUUGUGCCAAUUUUAACAUCCGAGUUUUGGGUGAUAUUGGCAGUUGUGAUCGCGUUUAGAC
rnacentral:lncRNA from 1 species